rnacentral:rRNA from 1 species
UACGUAGGGUGCAAGCGUUGUCCGGAAUUAUUGGGCGUAAAGGGCUCGUAGGCGGUCUGUCACGUCGGGAGUGAAAACUCAGGGCUUAACCCUGAGCCUGCUUCCGAUACGGGCAGACUAGAGGUAUGCAGGGGAGAACGGAAUUCCUGGUGUAGCGGUGGAAAUGCGCAGGAUAUCAGGAGGAACACCGGUGGCGAAGGCGGUUCUCUGGGCAUUACCUGACGCUGAGACGCGAAGGCGUGGGGAGCGAACGGG